rnacentral:lncRNA from 1 species
AAAAUUUAUUAAAUUAUAUGAAUUACUUUUAUAAUACUAUAUGAUACUCAUACUUAAAAUCUUAUCAUUGGAAAUAUUUUCUGAAAUUUCUUUUUCCAGAAGUAGAUGUAUUUUAUGAUUGUCAUAAAUAAAAUAAAUGCUUUCCUUGGAGGCCGCCAUCUUGAAUUAGCUUGUAAGCUUGCAGACGAACUUGCUAGCUCCUCUAGCAUGCCAAUUUCGCUAACUCUGACAUCAUUCAGCUCAAAAGUAAACGAUUGCUGGCACGGAGCUAGGGUGAAAGUAUACAGCUUGGGCAUGCUAUUUGCAGAAUUAGUUCAGAAGUAAAUGCAGCUAUGGUGGC